AGCGGGAUAGAGAAGAGGCAUCUCGUAAGGCUCAUAACCUUAAGACGGCCGUUCGAUUCGGCCUCCCGCAACAA
rnacentral:tRNA from 10 species